UUCUGGCUCAGGACGAACGCUGGCGGCGUGCUUAACACAUGCAAGUCGAACGGUGAAGGUGGAGCUUGCUCUGCUGGAUCAGUGGCGAACGGGUGAGUAACACGUGAGUAACCUGCCCCUCACUUCGGGAUAACCUCGGGAAAUCGUGGCUAAUACCGGAUACGAGGCACCUUCGCAUGGGGUGUGCCUGGAAAGAUUUAUCGGUGGGGGAUGGACUCGCGGCCUAUCAGCUUGUUGGUGGGGUAAUGGCCCACCAAGGCGACGACGGGUAGCCGGCCUGAGAGGGCGACCGGCCACACUGGGACUGAGAUACGGCCCAGACUCCUACGGGAGGCAGCAGUGGGGAAUAUUGCACAAUGGGCGCAAGCCUGAUGCAGCGACGCCGCGUGGGGGAUGAAGGCCUUCGGGUUGUAAACCCCUUUCAGCAGGGAAGAAGCGAGAGUGACGGUACCUGCAGAAGAAGCGCCGGCUAACUACGUGCCAGCAGCCGCGGUAAUACGUAGGGCGCAAGCGUUGUCCGGAAUUAUUGGGCGUAAAGAGCUCGUAGGCGGUUUGUCGCGUCUGGUGUGAAAACUCAAGGCUCAACCUUGAGCUUGCACCGGGUACGGGCAGACUAGAGUGCGGUAGGGGUGACUGGAAUUCCUGGUGUAGCGGUGGAAUGCGCAGAUAUCAGGAGGAACACCGAUGGCGAAGGCAGGUCACUGGGCCGCAACUGACGCUGAGGAGCGAAAGCAUGGGGAGCGAACAGGAUUAGAUACCCUGGUAGUCCAUGCCGUAAACGUUGGGCACUAGGUGUGGGGCUCAUUCCACGAGUUCCGUGCCGCAGCAAACGCAUUAAGUGCCCCCGCCG
rnacentral:rRNA from 1 species